UCGGGAAUUUUGGGCAAUGGGCGCAAGCCUGAUCCAGCCAUGCCGCGUGAGUGAAGAAGGCCUUCGGGUUGUAAAGCUCUUUCAGCAGGAACGAAACGGUCGGCUUUAAUAAAGUCGGCUAAUGACGGUACCUGCAGAAGAAGCACCGGCUAACUACGUGCCAGCAGCCGCGGUAAUACGUAGGGUGCGAGCGUUAAUCGGAAUUACUGGGCGUAAAGCGUGCGCAGGCGGCGACAUAAGACAGAUGUGAAAUCCCCGGGCUCAACCUGGGAACUGCGUUUGUGACUGUGUUGCUAGAGUGUAGCAGAGGGGGUGGAAUUCCACGUGUAGCAGUGAAAUGCGUAGAGAUGUGGAGGAACACCGAUGGCGAAGGCAGCCCCCUGGGUUAACACUGACGCUCAUGCACGAAAGCGUGGGGAGCAAACAGGAUUAGAUACCCUGGUAGUCCCUGAGCGGGCUGGCAAGGCGCAU
rnacentral:rRNA from 1 species